CCCUCUCUUUUUCUUCUUUCCUUCUUUUCUUCAUUCUUCUUUCUUUUGUGGUUGCUCUCACUUCUUUAUACUUUCCACCAACCAACAGCUGCCACCUCCUACUAGCCACUUUUUCGGCUAGUUCUGGUCUCCGGCCAGCCACCAUUUCCGGCCAACAUUCAUUCAAGCCUUUAGUUCAUCCAUUUAGCUCCAAAUCAAGGUGCAAUUGAAGGAAUUUACACUUGGAUUCCAUUGUUGAUUGGAGUUGCAAGCAUGGUUAGGUGAGGUUCAAGAACUUGGAAAGUCUUGGGUUAAGAAAAGGUGAGUCUAGUUUUGGUACCAGGGUUACGAUCCAGGAGGAGCGUGCGUGACAUGGAUAGGCCAUGGAGAGUAAUAGGACCUAGAUGGUUGGGUAUUAUGGUUAUGUUAUUAGUACUAUUUGUAAUUGAAUUAUGGGGUUGAGACUGUUAUUUGAUACACCUAUUCGGUGGAUGAUUGGACGGUCGGUAGGGUGCUCCAUGUGAUCGGGACUACGGGGCUGGGUUGUGGACUUCAUGUCCUGAUGUUGAUUAUGCUUGUAGGGUUACUCCCUUGCGUUGGUUGCUUUGACUAUAUAUGUCAUUGUGUGUGAAGAUAUGUGAUGAUAUGAAUUGUUAGA